rnacentral:rRNA from 1 species
GACGAACGCUGGCGGCGCGCCUAACACAUGCAAGUCGAACGAGCGAGAGAGAGCUUACUUUCUCGAGCGAGUGGCGAACGGGUGAGUAACGCGUGAGGAACCUGCCUCAAAGAGGGGGACAACAGUUGGAAACGACUGCUAAUACCGCAUAAGCCCACGGCUCGGCAUCGAGCAGAGGGAAAAGGAGCAAUCCGCUUUGAGAUGGCCUCGCGUCCGAUUAGCUAGUUGGUGAGGUAACGGCCCACCAAGGCGACGAUCGGUAGCCGGACUGAGAGGUUGAACGGCCACAUUGGGACUGAGACACGGCCCAGACUCCUACGGGAGGCAGCAGUGGGGAAUAUUGCACAAUGGGGGAAACCCUGAUGCAGCGACGCCGCGUGGAGGAAGAAGGUCUUCGGAUUGUAAACUCCUGUUGUUGAGGAAGAUAAUGACGGUACUCAACAAGGAAGUGACGGCUAACUACGUGCCAGCAGCCGCGGUAAAACGUAGGUCACAAGCGUUGUCCGGAAUUACUGGGUGUAAAGGGAGCGCAGGCGGGAAGACAAGUUGGAAGUGAAAUCCAUGGGCUCAACCCAUGAACUGCUUUCAAAACUGUUUUUCUUGAGUAGUGCAGAGGUAGGCGGAAUUCCCGGUGUAGCGGUGGAAUGCGUAGAUAUCGGGAGGAACACCAGUGGCGAAGGCGGCCUACUGGGCACCAACUGACGCUGAGGCUCGAAAGUGUGGGUAGCAAACAGGAUUAGAUACCCUGGUAGUCCACACUGUAAACGAUGAUUACUAGGUGUUGGAGGAUUGACCCCUUCAGUGCCGCAGUUAACACAAUAAGUAAUCCACCUGGGGAGUACGACCGCAAGGUUGAAACUCAAAGGAAUUGACGGGGGCCCGCACAAGCAGUGGAGUAUGUGGUUUAAUUCGACGCAACGCGAAGAACCUUACCAAGUCUUGACAUCCUGCGACGCACAUAGAAAUAUGUGUUUCCUUCGGGACGCAGAGACAGGUGGUGCAUGGUUGUCGUCAGCUCGUGUCGUGAGAUGUUGGGUUAAGUCCCGCAACGAGCGCAACCCUUAUGGUCAGUUACUACGCAAGAGGACUCUGGCCAGACUGCCGUUGACAAAACGGAGGAAGGUGGGGAUGACGUCAAAUCAUCAUGCCCUUUAUGACUUGGGCUACACACGUACUACAAUGGCGUUAAACAAAGAGAAGCAAGACCGCGAGGUGGAGCAAAACUCAGAAACAACGUCCCAGUUCGGACUGCAGGCUGCAACUCGCCUGCACGAAGUCGGAAUUGCUAGUAAUCGCAGAUCAGCAUGCUGCGGUGAAUACGUUCCCGGGCCCU